GAUGAACGCUGGCGGCGUGCCUAAUACAUGCAAGUCGAGCGAACAGAUGAGGAGCUUGCUCCUCUGACGUUAGCGGCGGACGGGUGAGUAACACGUGGAUAACCUACCUAUAAGACUGGGAUAACUUCGGGAAACCGGAGCUAAUACCGGAUAAUAUAUUGAACCGCAUGGUUCAAUAGUGAAAGACGGUUUUGCUGUCACGUAUAGAUGGAUCCGCGCCGCAUUAGCUAGUUGGUAAGGUAACGGCUUACCAAGGCAACGAUGCGUAGCCGACCUGAGAGGGGGAUCGGCCACACUGGAACUGAGACACGGUCCAGACUCCUACGGGAGGCAGCAGUAGGGAAUCUUCCGCAAUGGGCGAAAGCCUGACGGAGCAACGCCGCGUGAGUGAUGAAGGUCUUCGGAUCGUAAAACUCUGUUAUUAGGGAAGAACAAAUGUGUAAGUAACUAUGCACGUCUUGACGGUACCUAAUCAGAAAGCCACGGCUAACUACGUG
rnacentral:rRNA from 1 species